rnacentral:rRNA from 1 species
UGGACGCCAGUCUGCAUGGAGCCGACCUUGAAAUACCACCCUUUAAUGUUUGAUGUUCUAACGUGGACCCGUAAUCCGGGUUGCGGACAGUGUCUGGUGGGUAGUUUGACUGGGGCGGUCUCCUCCUAAAGAGUAACGGAGGAGCACGAAGGUUGGCUAAUCCUGGUCGGACAUCAGGAGGUUAGUGCAAUGGCAUAAGCCAGCUUGACUGCGAGCGUGACGGCGCGAGCAGGUGCGAAAGCAGGUCAUAGUGAUCCGGUGGUUCUGAAUGGAAGGGCCAUCGCUCAACGGAUAAAAGGUACUCCGGGGAUAACAGGCUGAUACCGCCCAAGAGUUCAUAUCGACGGCGGUGUUUGGCACCUCGAUGUCGGCUCAUCACAUCCUGGGGCUGAAGUAGGUCCCAAGGGUAUGGCUGUUCGCCAUUUAAAGUGGUACGCGAGCUGGGUUUAGAACGUCGUGAGACAGUUCGGUCCCUAUCUGCCGUGGGCGCUGGAGAACUGAGGGGGGCUGCUCCUAGUACGAGAGGACCGGAGUGGACGCAUCACUGGUGUUCGGGUUGUCAUGCCAAUGGCACUGCCCGGUAGCUAAAUGCGGAAGAGAUAAGUGCUGAAAGCAUCUAAGCACGAAACUUGCCCCGAGAUGAGUUCUCCCUGACUCCUUGAGAGUCCUGAAGGAACGUUGAAGACGACGACGUUGAUAGGCCGGGU